rnacentral:rRNA from 1 species
AGCAGCCGCGGUAAUUCCAGCUCCAAUAGCGUAUAUUAAAGUUGUUGCAGUUAAAAAGCUCGUAGUUGAAUUUCGGGGUCAGUAGGUUGGUCAUGCCCUCGGUAUGUACUGGUCUCACUGAUUCCUCCCUCUUGAAGAACUGUAAUGUCAUUAAUUUGGUGUUGCGGGGAAACAGGACUGUUACUUUGAAAAAUUAGAGUGUUUAAAGCAGGCUCACGCUUGAAUACAUUAGCAUGGAAUAAUGAAAUAGGACGCUCGAUCCUAUUUUGUUGGUUUCUAGGAUUGACGUAAUGAUUAAUAGGGAUAGUUGGGGGCAUUAGUAUUCAAUUGUCAGAGGUGAAAUUCUUGGAUUUAUUGAAGACUAACUACUGCGAAAGCAUUUGCCAAGGAUGUUUUCAUUAAUCAAGAACGAAAGUUAGGGGAUCGAAGACGAUCAGAUACCGUCGUAGU